UGGGGAAUAUUGGACAAUGGGCGAAAGCCUGAUCCAGCAAUGCCGCGUGAGUGAUGAAGGCCUUAGGGUUGUAAAGCUCUUUUACCCGGGAUGAUAAUGACAGUACCGGGAGAAUAAGCCCCGGCUAACUCCGUGCCAGCAGCCGCGGUAAUACGGAGGGGGCUAGCGUUGUUCGGAAUUACUGGGCGUAAAGCGCACGUAGGCGGCUUUGUAAGUUAGAGGUGAAAGCCCGGAGCUCAACUCCGGAACUGCCUUUAAGACUGCAUCGCUCGAAUCAUGGAGAGGUCAGUGGAAUUCCGAGUGUAGAGGUGAAAUUCGUAGAUAUUCGGAAGAACACCAGUGGCGAAGGCGACUGACUGGACAUGUAUUGACGCUGAGGUGCGAAAGCGUGGGGAGCAAACA
rnacentral:rRNA from 1 species